AAUUUCUCAGGCUCCGUGCAGUUUGAUACAACUCUUGAACGGAUACAUCAGCCUCAAGGAGCACAAAACGAUGCUUGAUCAAGAGAAAGAGACUCGUGUUCAAAAUCUACGCAGGAUGGUUGCUUCUACUUGUCAACCAAACAACAUUUAGCGUCUCUCCUCCAGGGGAGGAAAAAAGAUUCACCGAGCUGCUAGGAGCUGGUCUAUAACCAAAAAGUGAAAUCUUUUUCCUAGGAGCUGCUCUCUGUUUCUAGUAAAGGGGAGGAAAAAAGAUUCACCGAGCUGCUAACUACUUGACGUUUCAGACAUAACCCAAACAGUGUUGUAUCUAAAGUGAUCUUAUAUCAAAACUGGCAAAGUGUUUGUUUACAA